AUUGAACGCUGGCGGCAUGCUUUACACAUGCAAGUCGAACGGCAGCACAGGGAGCUUGCUCCUGGGUGGCGAGUGGCGAACGGGUGAGUAAUGUAUCGGAACGUGCCUGGUAGUGGGGGAUAACUACUCGAAAGAGUGGCUAAUACCGCAUGAGAUCUUUGGAUGAAAGCGGGGGACCUUCGGGCCUCGUGCUACUGGAGCGGCCGAUAUCAGAUUAGGUUGUUGGUGGGGUAAAGGCCUACCAAGCCUGCGAUCUGUAACUGGUCUGAGAGGACGACCAGCCACACUGGGACUGAGACACGGCCCAGACUCCUACGGGAGGCAGCAGUGGGGAAUUUUGGACAAUGGGCGCAAGCCUGAUCCAGCAAUGCCGCGUGCAGGACGAAGGCCUUCGGGUUGUAAACUGCUUUUGUACAGAACGAAAAGUCUCUGGCUAAUAUCUAGAGAUCAUGACGGUACUGGAAGAAUAAGCACCGGCUAACUACGUG
rnacentral:rRNA from 1 species